UGGCGGACGGGUGAGUAAUGUCUGGGAAACUGCCUGAUGGAGGGGGAUAACUACUGGAAACGGUAGCUAAUACCGCAUAACGUCGCAAGACCAAAGAGGGGGACCUUCGGGCCUCUUGCCAUCGGACGUGCCCAGAUGGGAUUAGCUAGUAGGUGGGGUAACGGCUCACCUAGGCGACGAUCCCUAGCUGGUCUGAGAGGAUGACCAGCCACACUGGAACUGAGACACGGUCCAG
rnacentral:rRNA from 1 species